CUGGUGACUAGUGGCACAUAGAAACCCACUCAGCUGUGAAGCUAGAUAAGUAGUGAAGGAAGUUAUGAAGCUGCACCGUGAGAACCGGCUUUCUCAAGUAGAACUUAAUUGGCCUGGCGCUGCUUCAACUCAGGACAGAAGGUAGAAGGGCAAGCAGGCAUGUGUAGAAGAGGAAAUGUGCUCUUUAACAAAUAGCUCUCAAGAAUUCAAGAGCAAGAAGCCACUUGCUCCCAAGAGACAGCACUAAUCCCUUUAUGAAGGGUAGUAAGAUUAUGCAGCUUCAUCCACCUCCACAUUCAUCCACCUUCCUCAACCUCCUCCACAACCUCCCCAAAGUGGCUUUGGAGGCCAAAGAUGCAAUGGAAUGAGUGAGAAACAGAAAAGCUCUGGUUUCAUGCUGAUGGGGAUAACAGCCCAAAAAGAAGAAAAAGAAAGAAAAUAAGAAAAGAAAAGAAUGAAAAUAAGAUUAUAAGUAUAAAAUCCAAAAUAACAG
ensembl:lncRNA